GCCCGGGUGGUGGAAUUGGUAGACACGCUGGAUUUAGGAUCCAGUGGCCGAAAGGCCGUGGGGGUUCAAGUCCCCCCUCGGGCACCA
rnacentral:tRNA from 2 species